GGUGGGAGGCUUUGAAGCGUGGACGCCAGUCUGCGUGGAGCCGACCUUGAAAUACCACCCUUUAAUGUUUGAUGUUCUAACGUGGAUCCGUAAUCCGGGUUGCGGACAGUGUCUGGUGGGUAGUUUGACUGGGGCGGUCUCCUCCUAAAGAGUAACGGAGGAGCACGAAGGUUGGCUAAUCCUGGUCGGACAUCAGGAGGUUAGUGCAAUGGCAUAAGCCAGCUUGACUGCGAGCGUGACGGCGCGAGCAGGUGCGAAAGCAGGUCAUAGUGAUCCGGUGGUUCUGAAUGGAAGGGCCAUCGCUCAACGGAUAAAAGGUACUCCGGGGAUAACAGGCUGAUACCGCCCAAGAGUUCAUAUCGACGGCGGUGUUUGGCACCUCGAUGUCGGCUCAUCACAUCCUGGGGCUGAAGUAGGUCCCAAGGGUAUGGCUGUUCGCCAUUUAAAGUGGUACGCGAGCUGGGUUUAGAACGUCGUGAGACAGUUCGGUCCCUAUCUGCCGUGGGC
rnacentral:rRNA from 1 species